rnacentral:lncRNA from 1 species
GUGUUGAUAUUUGAGUUGUUUUAAAUAUGAAAAUCUAAAAUAAAAUAUAUUGAUAUCAAAAUAUGUUGUUUAAAAAAAUUACAAUGAAAAAAAGAAAUAAAAAAAUGACGUUUUUAUAGACAAAGAUGGGUUAAAGUUAUGAAAAAUAAAACAAAUAUUGAAAAUAACGUAGAGCUACUUUUGUAAGAAACAUGAAACCUAUUAGAUGGAUACAUGGCAAAAGAGCUAAGUUUGCUUUGAACAUUAUAGGAUGGGUUGAAGCACUCCAAAUGCAUGACUUUGAAUUAAAAUGGCAUAUACAAAUACUGAUUACUUAGCUACUUAUUGUAUUUUUUUUCAUCAUAGUAGCCUUCUAUAGGUGACUAUGUUUACUACACCAAAUCAUUAUUGAAAGAAUCAUUUAUCCUUAUUUCAUACCUUUUUAAAAAAAAUCAAAUAUAUGUGUUAAACACUAAAACAAGAGAAUAUGCGGAUUUUUUAUGAUUAAUUUUAUUGACUUAAAUUGUAAUGUGUUGAUAUUUGAGUUGUUUUAAAUAUGAAAAUCUAAAAUAAAAUAUAUUGAUAUCAAAAUAUGUUGUUUAAAAAAAUUACAAUGAAAAAAAGAAAUAAAAAAAUGACGUUUUUAUAGACAAAGAUGGGUUAAAGUUAUGAAAAAUAAAACAAAUAUUGAAAAUAACGUAGAGCUACUUUUGUAAGAAACAUGAAACCUAUUAGAUGGAUACAUGGCAAAAGAGCUAAGUUUGCUUUGAACAUUAUAGGAUGGGUUGAAGCACUCCAAAUGCAUGACUUUGAAUUAAAAUGGCAUAUACAAAUACUGAUUACUUAGCUACUUAUUGUAUUUUUUUUCAUCAUAGUAGCCUUCUAUAGGUGACUAUGUUUACUACACCAAAUCAUUAUUGAAAGAAUCAUUUAUCCUUAUUUCAUAUCUUUUUUAAAAAAAUCAAAUAUAUGUGUUAAACACUAAAACAAGAGAAUAUGCGGAUUUUUUACGAUUAAUUUUAUUGACUUAUAUUGUAAUUUGUUGAUAUUUGAGUUGUUUUAAAUAUGAAAUUCUUAAAUAAAAUAUAUUGAUAACAAAAUAUGUUGUUUUAAAAAAAUUACAAUGAAAAAAAGAAAUAAAAAAAUGACGUUUUUAUAUACAAAGAUGGGUUAAAGUUAUGAAAAAUAAGACAAAUAUUAAAAAUAACGUAGAGUUACUAUUGUUAGAAACAUGAAACCUAUUAGAUGGAUACAUGGCAAAAGAGGUAAGUUUGCUUUUUUACAUUAUAGGAUGGGUGGAAGAACUCUAAAUGCAUGACUUUGAAUUAAAAUGGCAUUUACAAAUACUGAUUACUUAGCUAAUUAUUGUAUUUUUUCUCAUCAUAGUAGCCUUCUUGAGGUGACUAUGUUUACUACACCAAAUCA